UUUUUAUGUUUUUUAAAUGCGGAGUUGGUAGUUCAAACGCCCGGGAUUUCUGUGGACGCUCCCGCAUUACGGGGGACGGUGAAAAUUAAUUCUUUCCCUAUGCUGUGGGGUGCAAAGCAGAAAUCCCGAAGUGGUUUCAGGUCCCCUAAAAAUCUUUAUAAAAGCCAAAUAAAGUGUUGUAGUGUGUAGAAUGGAGAAAUUACAUUUUUUGUACAAGAUGAUCCUAAAAUAUAAUGUACCAAAGGAUAUUACAGGCUGGGAAAGUACUUUCUGACGAAAUUCAAAGACACGUCAAAUUUGUUUAUCAAGGACAGAACAAUUUUUGAAGCCAAAAGCAUUGCAAAACCUUCAACCCUCUAAGUGAUGGUGUUAUCCAAUACCAACAAUACGUUUAAUAAAAAAUUCAAAAAUG